AAAUCAACAUUGUAACCAUUCACCAUUUUUUUCUCCCUCCUCCUUGAUCCCUUUACAUCUUCUCACAGUCCACCGCCAACACUGCCGUCUUCAGUCUGCUUGUCUUUAACAGUCACCACCUAGGCGCCCGCCGGAGCUCCCAGCUGCCUCAGGCGACACCAACUUGCCGACACUCGCUGGGGCAGACAUUCUUCUCUAAUUUCUUUAGCAGGUCAUCAAUUUUUCCAUCACGCAACAACCACUAAUGGCGGAAGUCGACGCAAGCCAAUUAGUGUGCACCAUAUGCGAUCAUCAAGGCCUUUAUGCUGACGACGAUGGUCACUUUUAUUGCUCUAAUUGCAACUCACAAGCCGAAGGUCUCGUCGACUUGGCUAACGAUGAUGACUUUAUUGGAAUGGGGGAUGGUGGCGGUGGCGGAGGUCUCUACUCCGUUGCCCACAAACGCAGUGUUCACCAAUAUUCUUCAGUUGAACCCCAAGUCGACCAUGUGGGUCCCAUUGAACCUGCUGAUUUUGGGAGAACCCCAAAAGGGAUGAUUUUUAAUGCAGAACAGUAUUAUAAUGCUCUGCGAAUGAGAUAUGUUUUGGGUGUUCAGUUGAUGCUACAGCUUCAGUGUGAAGCUCUUGUUGAGAAAUGCGGGGUUACUCCAUUGAUUUGUGGGAUUUCUGGUUCUAUUUGGUCGCGCUUUGUUGCUUCUGCCCAGAUUUUUCAUAAUGGUUGGGCUGAUCAAACUGUGUUAGACUCUGAAAAAGGGGAAAGGAGACAACACAUAGGAAAUUCUCGUAAAAAUGAGCCUCGAAAUCUGCAUAAUGAACGUAUGGUAGUGAUAUGGUGUAGAUCCUUGAAAAAGGCGAUUCCCCUGUCAAGUUCCUUAGCUAUUUCGUAUUUGGCUUGUCAUAUUGCUAGGGAACCAGUACUUCCUAAUGAUAUAGCAAAGUGGGCUAUUGAAGGAAAGCUUCCUUACUUUGGUGUUUUCCCUAAAAUUGCAGAGUCCAUCAAACAAAUUGAGAGGUAUAAUCAACAUGUUUCCGUCAUAUGUCCUAUACAAGCAAGUUCUUUGUUUAGCCCUUCAAAUCUUCCUACAGAGAAACUAGAGUCUAUGGCAGCAUCUAUAGCUCAGUCUGUAGGCUUGAGUCUACCUCCCGUUAACUUUUACAAAAUAGCCUGUCGUUAUUUGAAGCAGUUAUCACUUCCAGUAGAUAAACUCAUUCCAUUUGUAUGCCGCAUACACGAGUGGUGCAUGCCUCCUGAUUUAUGGUUGUGUACAAGAGCGGAAAAGCUUCCUAGUCGUGUUUGUGUGAUGUCAAUACUGAUUGUAACAAUGAGGAUUCUUUAUAACCUUAAUGGUUUUGGCAAAUGGGAAAGAGCUGUUUCUGCUCCAAUUGACUCCUCUUCUAUGAAUGAUCAGACAACAAGGUUUGACAAGUCCAAUGCAAAGAGAGGUGAUGAAGAUGUUUCUGGAAAACAUAGAACAAAGUCGUCAGUUCAUAAAUUUGAAUCUGAAAGUAUUGAGCUUUUGCACAAUCUUGAAAGAAGAUACGAUGCCUUUAGUAAUAAAUUUGAAUAUUCCAAGGAUUUACCAACCUAUCUGCAGUACUGCGAGGAUGUCUUAUUUGCUGGCUUAGAGCCGUCGUACAGGGAGUCUACUUUGAGAGAAGAACUUUGGAGCUUUUUUAAAACGAACCGAGAGGACAUUAAGAUAUUUGAGGAAAUUAAAGCUGAAUCAGUUCUGAAAAGGUCAAGGGACUAUGACAUACUCAAUACCCCGUUAAAUGACAAUAAGAAAAAUAGGGAUGAGAAGAUGGCCAGUUCUCUAUCAACUCGUAUCGGAUCUCAUUUUCCCACUUACUGCUCUAAGAUGGAACCAGAUACUGAUAGUAAUCACCAAAUUUCACACACUCAUAAAGGUCCAGAAACUCUUUAUGAUGGUGAAGCAUCAGCCAAAAUUUUAGGAGAGAUAUCACUUAGACAUCUGAAAAAGGACAUGGAAGAAAACCGUUUCUGUUACAUUCCACCAAGGACAGAAAUCAAGAGACAUGAUUAUAUGCACUAUAAGAGGAAGAAGGGUGAUGGUUCCUUAGAUUAUGUUGCCCAUGCUGAUUAUUAUAUCCUACUUCGAGCUUGUGCAAAAGUGGCUGAAGUAGAUAUUCGAAUUAUGCAUGUUGGCGUUCUCAAUUUGGAGAGAAGAUUGGAUUGGACUGAAGAGAGUAUUGAUAAUAGUUUGCGAAGAAAAUGUCCUGAUGGUACUGCCGAGGUCAGCAUUGAUUUAGGUGGUGAUUCUGUCGAUUUAUCAAAUCUAAAUCUGUGACCUCUCUGUUUAUUUAUCAAGAGGAGGAAAAGGCCUUUUUCGAAGAUCUAGAGUAUAUGCAUAUAGAAUAUUGCUGGGGUCUUCUUAAAGUCAGAAGACAUUCUCUUGCAAGAAAUUACUUAAAGGAUACGGAAGGAUCAGUUUGCCAAAUGAUAAGGCACCAUGGAAUAGAUCCUUGACCUUAGUCAGCCUCUCGCUUUGCUCAUUCCUGCUGUUAAAGCCUGUCUAAUAGGCACACAGUAGGUUUAGUUGAUUUAAAAAGGCGAUGAUUUUGAAUUCAAUAGUCUACAAGUCCGCCUCUGAAAGCAAAGUUGGAAGAAUUCUGUUGCCUUAUCCGAUGAUGAUAGCGCUAGCCCUCUUGAGCCAGGAUCAAACCUUCUUGUGUUUAGGCCAGUCGCUAAACAAAUCCUCAGGAAAGGAACCUAUCUAUAUGCCUAGCUCUGAUAGCGAGAGAUUACUUUUUCACAGCAUCAAUUCUAUCAUCCUCUCAGAUUUUCUCAAGACAACUCAAACAAAAGGUGUAAAACAUGGAAAAAUGGCUGCAAUUCAAGCUACUCAGCUGGCCGUAGGCAUGGACUUCUGGCCAGCAUCCCUGCUGACAGAAACUCGAUUGGCUAACCUGGUCCUGACCAUGGAGACAUGCUGCAAAUAUCUCAUGUUCUGGAGUAUAUUUUUGGCCUCUGUUGAGUUAUAGGGUUGUAUAACAUCAUCAUCAUCAUCAUCAUCAUCGUAAUCAAUGUAUCCCGCCAAUUGGAAACUAUAAUCAGGGUUUGGGGUGGGAAGAAAGACAGCAACAUUUUUACCCGUAAAAGAAGAUGAGGCCAACGAGUCUCUCGGCUCGAGACAUGAAGAUUCGACUGGAACACAUAUUGGUUAAACCAUUUUUUAUGAUCAUUUGAAUCCUUGCAAUUUGGCUUGUUAGAACUGCCACUGCCAAUCUACCAUUGCCUUUGCACGUACUCCCUUCGUCCUAUAGAAUUUACAACAUUUAAAUUUCUUAUGAGAGAGCUUUUUAGAAGAUAUGCAACAAAUUCAAUGGGAUUGAACGAGUAUAUGUAUAUAUAUUAUGUCAUUUAGGCAUUGUAUUUACGCAAUCUGUUACAUUCUAAUUGACAAUUUAAUAAUUUCUUUCUUUCAACUAAUUACAAAUUACUGACAAUUUAAUCUUUUCUUUCUUUCAAAUAAUUAAGUUACCUCAUAGUUAUAAGCCUUUAGUUAUGCCUUUGUAUUGCUACAAUUACAGAUACAAAAAUACAAUAAAGCUAUUGGUGCUUGUAUAUGCAUCUUAUUUGCUAAAAGUUUCAUCUUUAACAAGGCACACAUUAUCAUAAUCAAAAUUAAUACUCUUUGUCUUUUAUUUGUUUUUACCACUUGCUUUUUUAACAGAGGUAGAAUAAAACUAACAAAUAAUUUUAUGCCCUGGUGUGCUUUUUAUUUCUCAGCCACCUGUAGUUAUAUAUUAAAUAAUUGAUCUAUCUCGAUAUAACUGAGCGUAUUAUAAUUUAGUAUUGAAGGUUAUUAAAUUUUGAGAAUCUUCUGCAAUUAAACAUUUUACAAAUGCUGGGAACCUCUUAUACUUUUUAGAAUCUUAUAAACUAUACGUAAACCAAGACAUAUUAGGUUGUAUACAUUGGUAUUGCCUAUGAUAUCAAAAUCAAGAUUUGAUAUUUUGGCUCUCAAAGGCUCUUUUAAUUUGCUAAUUAGAGUGAUUAAUGGGUUAAACUUGUUGAUUUUAUCAAAUCGUGCAUGUCUUACUAUUAGCAGAAAUGACAUUGAAGUAACAAAAUGUACUAUCUAAUCUAACCAUAAUCUUAUCGUUAUAUAGGUAACAUUUAGCUGAC